UGAUUUUGUUAAUAAUGAGUUAAUUGUAUAUCACUCCAGCGGAUCAGUAUUCAGUUGUCUCCAACAAUCGUCUAAGGCAGUACAUCUGAAUAUUUUAAUUAUAUUCGCUCCAGUUAUACUUAUAAAAAAUCCGAAUUGUUAUCACAUCAGCGACAACAAUAAUAACGACAACAACAACAACAACAACAACAACAACAACAACAACAACAACAACAACAACAACGAGAACGAGAACAAUAUAUUCAAUUUAUACAAAACUUAUUCAAAAAAUGAAUUUACUUAAGUCCCUCAAGGAACAGUCGGAAGUUCGUAACCUUUCAAUUGAUGAUUUAGUCAUCGAUAUCGAAUAUAAGAUACAAUCAAUGAAAAAGAUGGAAACCGCAUUUGGAAUGACAGUAUCCUGCACGCUGGAAGAUCCGGUAAUGGGGGGCACUAUUAAUGUUUUUUUACCAAAAUCGGUGAACGUCACCUCUGAAGAGGCGGUCAGUUAUAAUUUGGGGGAAGUGCCCCCCAUCAAUUUAAUUUUUAAAGGAAAAAACAAAAAUAAAUUCGUUAUCAAAUUUGUAUAAAGUUUUUGUUUUUUAAAUAUUAUAUUCAUAAUAAUGCUAUUUUAAAUAUUUUUGUCAUGUUCUUUUUUUUUUUUUUUUUGUUUUAUGCUCAA